UCAUCGAGCUCUCUCACAAUCACUUUCUUCUGCGGCUGCCACCCACUCAACUCCACAAGGUAAGAGUGAGAUAUGUUGAGCACCUCAAGAUCCUUUAACCCGUCAAGGAUUUUGAUCAGUGCCUCCCUAUUUAUCGAAGAGCAUCUAAGGAUGAGAGUUUUGAGGUGAGGGAGGCAGCUGAUGAGGGUGUCUGCAAAGAAGAUCUCGAAUGGACCCAUGAUCUUUAACUCCUUGAAGUUGCUGCAGUUGUUGGCGAUCUCUGUGAAGAGGUAAGGCGGGUUUGCGAUGCUAGGCAUUGUUAGUGACUCGAGAUCUUUCCAAAUCCUUAUGGCUUUGCAUAUCCCAGUCAUCUUUAUUCUGUUCCAAGCUGGUAAGACGAGUCGUCUCAGCCCUGGACACCUGC
rnacentral:lncRNA from 1 species